GUUUGAUCCUGGCUCAGAGCGAACGUUAGCGGCAGGCUUAACACAUGCAAGUCGAGCGAGAAAGGGGCUUCGGCUCCGAGUAAAGCGGCGGACGGGUGCGUAACACGUGGAUAAUCUGCCUCGUGGCGGGGGACAACAGUCCGAAAGGACUGCUAAUACCGCAUGUCAGGUCGGAAACUCCGGUUUCUGACGAAAAAGUAGGGCGCCCGCAAGGGGCUCUCACCACGAGAUGAGUCCGCGUCCCAUCAGCUAGUUGGCGGUGUAAUAGACCACCAAGGCUUAGACGGGUAGCUGGUCUGAGAGGAUGACCAGCCACACUGGGACUGAGACACGGCCCAGACUCCUACGGGAGGCAGCAGUGGGGAAUAUUGGACAAUGGGCGAAAGCCUGAUCCAGCCAUGCCGCGUGAGUGAUGAAGGCCU
rnacentral:rRNA from 1 species